AGGGCUCGAACUCACGAACUGUGAGAUCAUGCCUUGAGCCACCCAGGUGCCCCUGUAGACAUUUUAUUCUUAUGUUAAUUUGCUGUGGCAUCAUUUCAUGACUUAUUGUAUAUUCUCUAAUAUCAUGCAAAUAGUUCUUGAUUAAAACUUAGAGGUUAUACCUCCUAAACUAUCAGACCUGCUUUCUUUCUAGGAAUUUACAUAGCAUAUUGGUUACAGACGAAAACCUGUAUGACUUGCAAACCUGACUUUACCAGACCUUUCCGGGAUCUGACACUACAGUCUGUGCUUUCCUUUGAGAGCCACUCUCCUCAACUGGCUUGUAAUUACACUACACCCAACUUUCCUCAACAUAUUUGAUCACAGGAUCAAAUUUAAAAAACCAUAAUGAGCAGUUGGAACCCCAGUGAGAGCUCAUGAGCUGUGUUUAGAUUAAAGCAAACAGCAAAAAAUCUCAUGGAUGAAUUAAUUAUUGCAGGAAGUGGUCACAUUUUUAUUCAUAGUCUGUUUUUAUAUUAUACAAGAAUAAAUAAAAUGUGAGAAUUAAAAUUUAUUUUCCCUUA